UGGUUCUACUGUAUAUAGUGCAUCAAUUCCGAGGUAAGUGUUUUAUUCUUACAUAUAUUAUUACUUUUCUGUGUCUCACUUUUGUUUAUCAAAUUUCCGAAACUUUCAGACUUCUGCAGACAAUUUUCCAUUGUGUAAAUUGUUCAAUUUAUAAUGCUUUGUAAACGGAUUUAAAGAUAUGAAAACCAUGUUUUAUAUUCAGAUAUUUGCGGUUUUACUAGUGAACAAGAACAAGAUAGUUAAUUACGGGUACAAAUUGAAUUACGUAAUAUUUAUGUGUACAAGGUUCCGAAUUUCCUUAUGUAGGUGAAACUAUCAUGCAAAUUAUGAUAUUUAUUACAGUAAUGACACUUUUGCUGCAUAUAAAAUGUAGUGCGUAUUUAUCUAGUAAAUUAACAGAAUAUAUAUGUUCAUUUUAUGAACGUGAGAUUAUAGAGUCAUGUUUAUGUUGCAUGAACGUGCAAGUAAAAUGCAUAUCUAAAUUGAUAAUCGUACUAAAGAGUUUGUACAAUAUAUUAUUGCUAGGUUCCAGCCUGCACCAGAGUAAUACAAUGCUGCGGUGUUAAGGAGUGGUCAUAUGGAUUGAACGCAAUCAUACAUAAUUCAUCAAACAACAUAUCUACAUAUUAUAGUGGAACUGUCGUGCACGAUACCAUAACCGUCAUAACGAUACCAUAACCGUCAUAACGAUACAAAGGAAG
rnacentral:lncRNA from 1 species